GUGAACGCUGGCGGUAGGCCUAACACAUGCAAGUCGAACGGCAGCACAGUAAGAGCUUGCUCUUACGGGUGGCGAGUGGCGGACGGGUGAGGAAUACAUCGGAAUCUACUUUUUCGUGGGGGAUAACGUAGGGAAACUUACGCUAAUACCGCAUACGACCUACGGGUGAAAGCAGGGGAUCUUCGGACCUUGCGCGAUUGAAUGAGCCGAUGUCGGAUUAGCUAGUUGGCGGGGUAAAGGCCCACCAAGGCGACGAUCCGUAGCUGGUCUGAGAGGAUGAGCAGCCACCCUGGAACUGGGACACGGUCCCGACUCCUACGGGAGGCAGCAGUGGGGAAUAUUGGACAAUGGGCGCAAGCCUGAUCCAGCCAUACCGCGUGGGUGAAGAAGGCCUUCGGGUUGUAAAGCCCUUUUGUUGGGAAAGAAAAGCAGCAGGUUAAUACCCCGCUGUUCUGACGGUACCCAAAGAAUAAGCACCGGCUAACUUCGUG
rnacentral:rRNA from 1 species